GAUGAACGCUAGCGGCAGGCCUAACACAUGCAAGUCGAGGGGCAGCACAGAAACAGCAAUGUUUUGGUGGCGACCGGCGGACGGGUGCGUAACGCGUAUGCAACCUACCUUUAACAGGGGGAUAACGGAGAGAAAUUUCCACUAAUACCCCAUAACAUCGAUCAAGGCAUCUUGAUUGGUUGAAAACUCCGGUGGUUAAAGAUGGGCAUGCGUUGUAUUAGGUAGUUGGUGAGGUAAUGGCUCACGAAGCCUACGAUACAUAGGGGGGCUGAGAGGUUAGCCCCCCACACUGGUACUGAGACACGGACCAGACUCCUACGGGAGGCAGCAGUGAGGAAUAUUGGUAAAUGGGGGCAACCCUGAACCAGCCAUGCCGCGUGCAGGAAGACGGCUCUAUGAGUUGUAAACUGCUUUUAAACAGGGAUAAAGCACAGUAUGUAUACUGUGUUGAAGGUACUGUAAGAAUAAGGAUCGGCUAACUCCGUGCCAGCCGCCGCGGUAA
rnacentral:rRNA from 1 species